rnacentral:misc_RNA from 1 species
CCGACUAUCGACGCCGUGUCCCGUCCCGUCAUUCGUGUGGCUUACGCCGCUGUUGCCUUUUGAAGUGCUUGCGUGCCGGUACCCGACCUACGGGAAUUGGUGCUUUCUACACGGUUGCCUCGCGGUGGACGCCUUCGGGUGUGCCGCUGCGGCCAAUCGGUGCUUGCGGCGUUGCCUCGUGGUGUUGGCAUGUUUACGUGUCCGGUGCUAUCAAGGAAGCCUCGCUCGUGCUGUUGGUUUCGGAUGUUGCUCACGUUAAAGGCUCAUAUGGCCCUUUUU